AAGUCGUAACAAGGUUUCCGUAGGUGAACCUGCGGAAGGAUCAUUAUCGAAUAAACUAGGUGGGUUGUUGCUGUCCCUCUCGGGGGAAUUGUGCACGCCCUACCUUUUUUGUUUUUCCACCUGUGCACACACUGUAGGUCUGGAGGGGAAGGGAGGCAACUCCCUGACGUUUCAGGUCCUAUGUCUUUACACAUACACUAUUAAAAGUAACAGAACGAUUCAAUGGGCUCUAAGCCUAUAAAAAUAUAUACAACUUUCAGCAACGGAUCUCUUGGUUCUCC
rnacentral:misc_RNA from 1 species